GAAGGGUGGAGACCUCUCUUGCAGCAGCCACCCUUUUGGGAGACCCCUUCAUGUGAGACAUCAUUUAACAGUCACAACUCCUCACACUUCCCAUCUCCAGGGCUGGAAUGUAGGACGAGGAGGCUAAAACAGGCUGAAGCUCUCGGAUCUCACCCCUGCAGCCUUCCAGGCCAAGUUCCAGGUCUUCCCUCCCUCCUUGGACUUCCUUCUGUGCCUGGUGCUCAUCUCCAGGGGCUGCAAUUCCAACUGUUUAUGGGUAAGAUCAGCUCUUGCCAGGUGAGCCCAAAGCCCAGCCCAGCGCGGUGGCACCUGGGUGAGAUCAGUGACAGCAAACAGC